GACGAACGCUGGCGGCGUGCCUAAUACAUGCAAGUAGAACGCUGAAGGAGGAGCUUGCUUCUCUGGAUGAGUUGCGAACGGGUGAGUAACGCGUAGGUAACCUGCCUGGUAGCGGGGGAUAACUCUUGGAAACGAUAGCUAAUACCGCAUAAUAGUAGAUGUUGCAUGACAUUUGCUUAAAAGGUGCAAUUUCAUCACUACCAGUUGGACCUGCGUUGUAUUAGCUAGUUGGUGGUGUAACGGCUCACCAAGGCGACGAUACAUAGCCGACCUGAGAGGGGGAUCGGCCACACUGGGACUGAGAAAAGGGCCAGAAUCCUACGGGAGGCAGCAGUAGGGAAUCUUCGGGAAUAGACGGAAGGCUGACCGAGCAAAGCCGCGUGAGGGAAGAAGGUUUUCGGAUCGUAAAGCUCUGUUGUAAGAGAAGAAAGAGUGGGAGAGUGGAAAGUGCACACUGUGACGGUAUCUUACCAGAAAGGGACGGCUAACUACGUG
rnacentral:rRNA from 1 species